AAUACCCGCUGAACUUAAGCAUAUCAAUAAGCGGAGGAA
rnacentral:rRNA from 1 species